rfam:Phlebia centrifuga strain FBCC195 PHLCENscaffold_560, whole genome shotgun sequence.
GGGUCUGUGGUCUAAUGGUUAUGACGUCUGCUUCACAUCUGUGAAGUCGCUGAAGGUUCCCGGUUCGAUCCCGGGCAGACUCA